rnacentral:rRNA from 1 species
AUUGAACGCUGGCGGCAGGCCUAACACAUGCAAGUCGAGCGGAGCGGCGGACGGGUAAGUACUGCCUAGGAAUCUGCCUGGUAGUGGGGGAUAACGUCCGGAAACGGGAGAUAAUGCCGCAUACUAGCAGCUGAGCCUAGGUCGGAUUUGCUAGUUGGUGGGGGAAAGGCCUACCAAGUCUACGAUCCGUCACUGGUCUGCGAGGAUGAUCAGUCCUACUGGAAAUGAGACACGGUCCAUACUCCUACGGGAGGCAGCAGUAGGGAAGAUUGGACAAGGGGCGAAAGCCUGAUCCAGCCAUGCCGCGUGAGUGAAGAAGGUCUUCGGAUUGUAAAGCUCUUUAAGUUGGGAGGCGUUACCAACAGAAUAAGCACUGGCUAACUUCGGGCCAGCAGCCGCGGUAAGUC